rnacentral:rRNA from 1 species
UACGGAGGGUGCGAGCGUUAAUCGGAAUUACUGGGCGUAAAGCGUGCGCAGGCGGUUUGUUAAGCGAGAUGUGAAAGCCCCGGGCUUAACCUGGGAACGGCAUCUGAUACUGUUAGGCUAGAGUAGGUGAGAGGAAGGUAGAAUUCCAGGUGUAGCGGUGAAAUGCGUAGAAAUCAGGAGGAAUACCGGUGGCGAAGGCGGCUGCCUGGACUGACCCUGACGCUGAGGUGCGAAAGCGUGGGGAGCAAACAGG